AGGUUGAUCCUGGCUGAGGUCAUUGCUAUCGGGGUCCGAUUUAGCCAUGCUAGUCGUACGAGUUCAGACUCGUGGCGAAUAGCUCAGUAACACGUGGCCAAACUACCCUACGGAGAAGCAUAACCUCGGGAAACUGAGGCUAAUUCUUCAUAACGCUGCCGAGCUGGAGUGCUGGCAGCUGGAAACGCUUCGGCGCCGUAGGACGUGGCUGCGGCCGAUUAGGUAGACGGUGGGGUAACGGCCCACCGUGCCCAUAAUCGGUACGGGUUGUGAGAGCAAGAACCCGGAGACGGAAUCUGAGACAAGAUUCCGGGCCCUACGGGGCGCAGCAGGCGCGAAACCUUUACACUGCACGCCAGUGCGAUAAGGGGACCCCGAGUGCGAGGGCAUAUCGUCCUCGCUUUUCUCUACCGUAAGGUGGUAUUGGAAUAAGGGCUGGGCAAGACCGGUGCCAGCCGCCGCGGUAAUACCGGCAGCCCGAGUGAUGACCGAUUUUAUUGGGCCUAAAGCGUCCGUAGCUGGCCAAGCAAGUUCGUCGGGAAAUCCACCCGCUCAACGGGUGGGCGUCCGGCGAAAACUGCUUGGCUUGGGACCGGAAGACCCGAGGGGUACGUCUGGGGUAGGAGUGAAAUCCCGUAAUCCUGGACGGACCACCGGUGGCGAAAGCGCCUCGGGAGGACGGAUCCGACAGUCAGGGACGAAAGCUAGGGUCUCGAACCGGAUUAGAUACCCGGGUAGUCCUAGCCGUAAACGAUGCUCACUAGGUGUGGCACAGGCUACGAGCCUGUGCUGUGCCGUAGGGAAGCCGUGAAGUGAGCCGCCUGGGAAGUACGUCCGCAAGGAUGAAACUUAAAGGAAUUGGCGGGGGAGCACUACAACCGGAGGAGCCUGCGGUUUAAUUGGACUCAACGCCGGACAUCUCACCAGCACCGACAGUAUGCUGUGAAGGUCAGUGUGAUGAGCUUACUGGAGCUACUGAGAGGAGGUGCAUGGCCGCCGUCAGCUCGUACCGUGAGGCGUCCUGUUAAGUCAGGCAACGAGCGAGACCCA
rnacentral:rRNA from 1 species